AUUUUAUAUCUUACAUUAACAAAUCUAUCUUCCAGAAGUUAACAAUCCUCACACAUCUGGUACUGGUGACACACAACAUGUUGUCUGGAGUGCCUCAGAGUUUGCUGAUUCCUCUGAAAGUGAUGAAGAGUAUAAUGACGUGGGAAGCAUUACAGUAUGAUUAAAUUAUGCUGUUGCAACUUCGUGGUGUUACCUUUGCUUUUGCUAUUUUACAACGGUUGCUUUUUGUGGUCUUUUUUAGCCUGUCUUUUUAAGUUUCUGGUUUAAUCUGUUUGUAAUCUGUUUAUUGUCACUAUUGUUGGUUUUUGUUUUAUGACACGGACCUACUGACUGAUUGUUGACUAUCCCUUUAGUCACUUUUUUCAUGUAAACAUUACUGUAAAUUAUCUUUCAAGACUGGACAUUAACUCCCAGCAUUCAUACAAAAAUACAAUAUACAUACUGUUAA